UAGGGAAUCUUCCACAAUGGACGAAAGUCUGAUGGAGCAACGCCGCGUGAGUGAAGAAGGGUUUCGGCUCGUAAAGCUCUGUUGGUAGUGAAGAAAGAUAGAGGUAGUAACUGGCCUUUAUUUGACGGUAAUUACUUAGAAAGUAACGGCUAACUACGUGCC
rnacentral:rRNA from 1 species